CAACAGUUUUGGCGUCCCUGGGUGGGCUCGAGGAUGAAAUUUAGCCUUGCCCGGAUCCCUCCUGGUGGCCGACGGAUUACGACGACGCCCGACGCCCAGAGCUCACCGGUGACUUCAUCGGGGGCCUCGGCAGAGAUGUGAUUUGCUCGACCCCGGAGGGCACAACGGUGCAACGCACACAGACAGUGGAGAAACAGCUGCGGGCGACGGUGGGGAACCGGUCCCGUUGAUAGGGCGACGGUGACGGUGCAGAACCGGACCCUUGGAUAAGGUAUACCAAAGAUUCACAGCCUCUUCUGCUGGAUACUCCGGUCCACUCCCUGCAGCCUGGUGACUUCGUUCUCGUGCGGACCUGGAAGGACGAGCCUCUUCAAGAGAAGUGGAAGGGACCCUACAUCGUCCUGCUUGUCACCCAUACAGCGGCAAAGGUCGAAGGACACAAGAACUGGAUUCAUCACUCUCGACUGAAAGCAGUGCCCGCUCCUAAACAGUGGACUGUCCAGCCUGCGGAGAAGACUGCUAACGACGAUUUGGGACUUAAGCUGUUAUUCAAAAGACAGUAAGGGUCACUGGGAAUGCGUUGUGAUCUCUCUGAACAGUCACAGCGCAUUCCCCGCGAGAACCCUGAGCAUUGGUUUUAUUUUCUCACAGAAGGCCGACCUGGCCUAUGUAUUUGGUCUUGUUAUUUUUUUGACUUGUUUAGCGUCAACAAUUCUUCUUAUCUUCUGGGCAUUUGGGUUGUUGUAAUUGUGUGUGCCCUUAUUGGAGAAGAGUGUUGUACCUAUGUCCCAGAGUUUUCACAGGACAUUAACAAGCACAUCUUGUCAGCUGAACGGGCCUUUAACCAGUGGAAGGCCCAGGAAAGAGAACCCACUAUUUUGGAUUCCCUUUGGGGUUGGAUACCUGGUUUAGGAGAACUAG